AACGCACCUUGCGCUCCCUGGUAUUCCGGGGAGCACGCCUGUUCGAGCGUCAUGAAGCUCUCAAACACUAUCUUUUCUUAACUGAGAAGGGUGGCCGUUUGGAUUUGGACUCUGCCGUGUAACAAACGGCUGGUCCGAAAGAUAUUAGCUGAUCCUAGCGAAGCUUGGUUCUACUCGGCGUGAUAAUUAUCUGACGUUGAGGACAUCGCAAGAUGGCCAAAAUUUGUUUUAUGGAUUGCUUCUAAUCGUCUUCAUCGACAACACAUCAUCAAUCUGACCUCGAAUCAGGCGGGACUACCCGCUGAACUUAA
rnacentral:misc_RNA from 1 species